CAGCCUCUCUGGGACUGCCAUCUGAUCUGUGAAACGAAGCCAAAUUGUUUCCAUGAUCCCAUUAGAAAUUCUUCUGUAGUGAUUCCAAUGGAUUUAUUGAACUACUGGUGACAGCCACACUGAUGAACUGCAGGCUGCCUGCUGCUAAAUUCUGCCAAUGAAUAUCAAACACCUUCCAUUUUCCCGUGGACCCAGAACAAAUCCAAUAAUUUGGAUCAAUGGACGUAUUUCCAGACAUUCACCAUAGAAGUGGUGAAGAAUACCAAGCAGUUGUGCAUGAACUUCAUUCCUUUGUACCAAUGGAAAUACGUUGGAAUAGUGUUCCAUUGUUUGGAUAUAUUGUACUGUAUUUAUCAUUCACCAGUUGAUGGAUAUUUGGGCUGUUUCCACCUUUUGGCUGGUUUGAAUAGUGCUGCUCUGAACAUUCCUGGACACAGCCUCAAGACCAUGCUCAGUGCCAUGUUCACUGGAGUGGGAAGCUGAUAUUCACUCUGCGGUGAGUCAACUUUCAACCGUCCUCCU